GGGGUAAUAGCUCAGUGGUAGAGCACCUGCUUUGCAUGCAGGGGGUCUGGAGUUCGAUCCUCCAUUGCUCCA
rfam:Fonticula alba strain ATCC 38817 unplaced genomic scaffold supercont2.1, whole genome shotgun sequence.